rnacentral:rRNA from 1 species
GGUCUGAGAGGAUGACCAGCCACACUGGAACUGAGACACGGUCCAGACUCCUACGGGAGGCAGCAGUGGGGAAUAUUGCACAAUGGGCGCAAGCCUGAUGCAGCCAUGCCGCGUGUAUGAAGAAGGCCUUCGGGUUGUAAAGUACUUUCAGCGGGGAGGAAGGGAGUAAAGUUAAUACCUUUGCUCAUUGACGUUACCCGCAGAAGAAGCACCGGCUAACUCCGUGCCAGCAGCCGCGGUAAUACGGAGGGUGCAAGCGUUAAUCGGAAUUACUGGGCGUAAAGCGCACGCAGGCGGUUUGUUAAGUCAGAUGUGAAAUCCCCGGGCUCAACCUGGGAACUGCAUCUGAUACUGGCAAGCUUGAGUCUCGUAGAGGGGGGUAGAAUUCCAGGUGUAGCGGUGAAAUGCGUAGAGAUCUGGA